rnacentral:lncRNA from 1 species
AGGUCCUGGCCGGAACUCCGCUGCUCCUGGACCCAGCGGAAGAAAGUUCUAGACUAGUCUAACUCCAGCAGCCCUGCGGCUCUGCUCCACGUUUCCUGGCGCCGCCGCCUGGCAGACAAAGCCGCCCUGCACGCCCCUAAGAGCCCUGGCUGGAGGGGGUGAAGUUCCUUUCUCCAACCUGACGAGGGGAAAGAGCCUGAAACCAAUCUUUCCAAAGAAAGGCCAUGGUAGAAAGUUUCAUUAUCCGCCAGAGCCAGAAACAGGUUUCUUCCCAAUAAACUGAACUCGGAAGCUGCCCCUGGCCUGAAGCAGCUGUGGGCAGGCUGAGGAUGCAUGGGGACCAUUCAACCGAAAUUUCUGAGUCCACAGGUAGAUCAGAUGUUAACCAGUUGGAGCAACAGUGACGAAGCAGCCAAGAAACCCAAGCUGAAUUUUAUUAUUCAUGCCAAAGACCGCAGACCCCACCCUAACAUUUGCAAGACCAGGGUUCUCCUACCCUAUGUUUAAGUUUAUAGAGACUAUACAAGCCAACAAAAUGAGUUUUAUUCUCCUUUGAGAAACAGACUUCCUUAACAUCCAGGAAGGAGCAACUUGGUAUACAGAAACCUCGCGUACUUUGGAGUUCAACCCUGUAACUUAGCAGGUAAGGAGCACGUGAUCACAGCCCGUGGACACAGCCAGUGGCCUGUCCAUCCCCUGCUGGCCUUGCUUCCUAUACUGGUUCCACUCAGCAACAGGUGGGGCGUGGCACCUGUGUACACACCUGUGCCCAAUCAGCCUAUCCGUCCCUCCCAACACAGCCACCCUUAGGCUGUCACAGAGACAGGAGUGGUUAUUCCAGCUGCUUGAUCUUACAUCGAGAGAACUGGAAGAGAAGCAGGGUCCAUGGCAGGCAUUUUUUAACUUGGAUCUAAAAAGACCUCCGAAAAAAAAUUUCCAAGAUCAUGUCCCAGAUAUAUGUAUUUGGCGUUCUCCAUAGUAAAUAAGCUACCAAGACACUUAGAUAAGUGCGAAUUGUGCAUCACUUGAUACUUCUUGAGAUUUAACUAUCUAAUAUCUAAACACAGUGGUGCAUAUAGCAUCUACUAAUACAUCAAUGAGGAGAGAAUUAUUCUGGCUCUGGAAGUUGGCAUGUGACAAGGAAAAGAGGGAUCCAGACCUAUAGUAUCCAAGUUAGUUAAGGGUGGCUAUCUAGAGCUUAAAAUUUAUCUACAAUUCUGUAGGAAGUGGGGUUUUUAUUCAAUUUCACUUUUAUUAAAUUCAGCUUUAAAUGCUAUUACAUAUGUGUUGAACAGCACAAGUCUGUGCCUACAGUGGCUAAGAAAAGUAAGAAAUCAUAGCCAUUAUUAAGUCACUUAAAAUUUACAACUAACUAUAGGUCACAAACUCAUAUUUUCAGUUAUAGUGAGGUUGGUCACCUUUCUGUAGAAUUUAUAUGAAGAUGAUUACCCCUCCCCCUCCCAUAAAAUCAAUACCUGUCAUCAUUACCUGUUCUCACCAUAAAAAUAAAAUCUUACCAUAAUAAUUUGAAAGCUUUUAUUUGCCAUGUUGCUGUUGAUAUAGCCAUAGACUGGCGUAUCAUAGACUACAUGAAAAUGUUGAUAACUAUCACGGAGGUAAAUGUGUUUGACUCUUCUAAGACGUACUUAGCAUGCGCUUUAAGUUUGGCGUCAGAUUUGUACUUCACGAUGGUUGAGAAUAUUAAAAUAUAAAAUCACCAGGAAAGGGUAGGUCACAAAUAAGACCAUGAAUCUAGAGACAAACAUGGAUGAAACAAUCCUAUUCUGUGGGCCAGCUCAGCUUUCUUCCAAAGAAGUCAUUCCGAUGAGUGUUGAAAAUAAGUCAUUUAAAAGAAAAAAAUCACAGAGUGGAGCCGGCUUUAGAAAUUCCCAACACUGUAGACCCCAGAGUGUGCCGAGCGCUGAGUCUAUGCAAGCACCGGGACAUGGAGCCCUCCCUUAGAACUGCAUAGAUCUCAGAGGACGAUGGAGUCCGAGCUUGACAGCUUCACCAGAAUUUAAGCUGGAAUUAAGCUACUCUCACCCUGACAUCUUCUCGCCAGACAGGUCCAGUGACUGCUGCUCCUCCCUCAGGCCUGGAGCACGUGGCAACAUUUGAAACUGUAGGGCUUCCUGGGUCUUGAGUUCUCACUGUGUCUGUGACUGUCCCAUAGCAGAAAGUUCUAGAAACUGAGAUGUUACUUCGUAACCAUACAGGAACAGGGCAGCAUCACGUUGGCUGUUGCUUUAAGGAGGGGGUAUGGACCACAUUCAGCAUUUCAUCAAGAACAGUGGUUCUCAGCCUUCCUAAUGCUGUAACCCUUUUAAUACAGUUCCUCAUAUUGUGACACUCAUGUUUUGUUGCUACAUCAACACUCUAAUUUUGCUACUAUUAUUAAUGGUAAUGUAAAUAUCUAAAUAUAGAUAACCCUAAAGGGGUUGAGACUCCCAAGUUGACACUCACUGGUCUAGAGACCAGUUGAGACCCGCUGGUCUUGUAAGGUUUGUAAGAGAUAUCAAACAUGCUUUGUUUUUCUUGAUUUAAAAUAAAAUACUGUAUAAACUGUG